rnacentral:miRNA from 1 species
UGUUUGUAUAGUGUGUGUAUAUAAUGCAGUGUGUUUGUGUAGUGUGCAAUAUAUAAACACACUGCAUUAUAUACACACACUAUGCAAAC